UUCACAUCAAAAUGGCGCUCGCUCACUCGCUGUGCGUAGAACGUAGUACUUGUGUAAACGUGUAAAUAAAUUGGAGAUAGCAUACAAGAAAACAGAAAGGGUUCGCGGUUCAACUUUUUUCUAACGGUUUCCUCGGCGUCCUUUACAAAGUCCAGUUGAUAUCGUGUCCUGUCCACGUCCAGGGUGGAUCAGACCUGAUCUACAAAAUCUUGGAGCAGCCGCUUUCGUCGUAUGCCAUUAAAAAAAUUAAAACAUGCCCGUUAUUAAAAUUUGGUCAGUAGACCAAACAAUCAAGAAAGCUGUUCCAAUAAUGGACCCAACUUUAAAAAAUAUCAUUGAAAAAGGUGAGUAAAUCUAAAUUAAUUUGACUUUUCGUAAUGAAAUAUUUUUUGUGUAAUUGUAGAAUGUAGUGUAUUGUAGAAUAGACUAUAAUUGGAUACCUACUGUUAAGCAUUAAUGUGCUGACUCAAACCACAUUUAUUUUGCAGUAUGAUGUCAAUUUAAAAAUUUGACGCUUGAAGUUGACAAGAUAGAGCUGAUGCUGAACCCUGGCUGUACCUAGUGGAACUCAGGUUUGGUGCAACAUAGGCCCACGCUAUUUUGAUCAUCCGUCACAUAGAGGGAGAGCAAUACCCAAGAUAUAAUUCAUAAUCCAUUUUCUUCCAGAUGAGGUACCAUCCUAAAUAUAGUAGUUCCAUUUACUAAUCUUAUUAACUUUUUCUUUUCCAGGAACCAUUAACCAGGGUUCAAGUUGCAGAGCUAUCCGAAAUAGCUGCGCCUAACAUUGUAUUUUUAGAUAAUGAAAAUAUAAUUAUAUUACUUGCUGGUAGAAAAAACGAUUGUUAGCGAAACUGAGAUUCUGCCUACGUCGUUACAACUAUUGAUGGCGGCUUACUGCAACUUGAAUAUGGAAUGUCCAGUGGACUGUCAAAACACAUUAGA